GAUGAACGCUGGCGGCGUGCCUAAUACAUGCAAGUCGAGCGAACAGACGAGGAGCUUGCUCCUUUGACGUUAGCGGCGGACGGGUGAGUAACACGUGGAUAACCUACCUAUAAGACUGGGAUAACUUCGGGAAACCGGAGCUAAUACCGGAUAACAUGUUGAACCGCAUGGUUCAACAGUGAAAGACGGUUUUGCUGUCACUUAUAGAUGGAUCCGCGCCGCAUUAGCUAGUUGGUAAGGUAACGGCUUACCAAGGCAACGAUGCGUAGCCGACCUGAGAGGGUGAUCGGCCACACUGGAACUGAGACACGGUCCAGACUCCUACGGGAGGCAGCAGUAGGGAAUCUUCCGCAAUGGGCGAAAGCCUGACGGAGCAACGCCGCGUGAGUGAAGAGGGUCUUCGGAUCGUAAAACUCUGUUAUCAGGGAAGAACAAAUGUGUAAGUAACUAUGCACGUCUUGACGGUACCUAAUCAGAAAGCCACGGCUAACUACGUGCCAGCAGCCGCGGUAAUACGUAGGUGGCAAGCGUUAUCCGGAAUUAUUGGGCGUAAAGCGCGCGUAGGCGGUUUUUUAAGUCUGAUGUGAAAGCCCACGGCUCAACCGUGGAGGGUCAUUGGAAACUGGAAAACUUGAGUGCAGAAGAGGAAAGUGGAAUUCCAUGUGUAGCGGUGAAAUGCGCAGAGAUAUGGAGGAACACCAGUGGCGAAGGCGACUUUCUGGUCUGUAACUGACGCUGAUGUGCGAAAGCGUGGGGAUCAAACAGG
rnacentral:rRNA from 1 species